rnacentral:rRNA from 1 species
GAUGAACGCUAGCUACAGGCUUAACACAUGCAAGUCGAGGGGUAACGAGAGGAAAGCUUGCUUUCCUUGUCGACGACCGGCGCACGGGUGAGUAACGCGUAUCCAACCUGCCCCCAACUAGGGAAUAACCUUGCGAAAGUAAGACUAAUACUCUAUAAUUUCCUCAGAUGUUAUCUGACGAGGAAUAAAGAUUUAUCGGUUGUGGAUGGGGAUGCGUCUGAUUAGCUUGUUGGCGGGGUAACGGCCCACCAAGGCAACGAUCAGUAGGGGUUCUGGGAGGAAGGUCCCCCACAUGGGAACUGAGACACGGUCCAAACUCCUACGGGAGGCAGCAGUGAGGAAUAUUGGUCAAUGGGCGGAAGCCUGAACCAGCCAAGUAGCGUGCAGGAUGACGGCCCUAUGGGUUGUAAACUGCUUUUAUACAGGAAUAAAGUUAGCCACGUGUGGUUAUUUGUAGGUACUGUAUGAAUAAGGACCGGCUAAUUCCGUGCCAGCAGCCGCGGUAA